rnacentral:misc_RNA from 1 species
GUGAUUAAACCGAACGCGUCUUUAUUGACCGUUCACCCUUCACAUCCACACACACCUGUGCACCGUUUUGCCUUUGGCUCGCCAAAGGUAAUCAUUUUUAUACAAACUCUAGUCUAAUGAAUGUAAACGUUUUAAUAACAUAAUA